GUUUGAUCCUGGCUCAGAUUGAACGCUGGCGGAACGCUUUACACAUGCAAGUCGAACGGUAACGCGGAGAGAAGCUUGCUUCUCUCCGGCGACGAGUGGCGAACGGGUGAGUAAUACAUCGGAACGUGUCCGCUCGUGGGGGACAACCAGCCGAAAGGUUGGCUAAUACCGCAUGAGUUCUACGGAAGAAAGAGGGGGACCCGCAAGGGCCUCUCGCGAGCGGAGCGGCCGAUGACUGAUUAGCCGGUUGGUGAGGUAACGGCUCACCAAAGCAACGAUCAGUAGCUGGUCUGAGAGGACGACCAGCCACACUGGGACUGAGACACGGCCCAGACUCCUACGGGAGGCAGCAGUGGGGAAUUUUGGACAAUGGGCGCAAGCCUGAUCCAGCUAUUCCGCGUGUGGGAUGAAGGCCCUCGGGUUGUAAACCACUUUUGUAGAGAACGAAAAGACACCUUCGAAUAAAGGGUGUUGCUGACGGUACUCUAAGAAUAAGCACCGGCUAACUACGUGCCAGCAGCCGCGGUAAUACGUAGGGUGCGAGCGUUAAUCGGAAUUACUGGGCGUAAAGGGUGCGCAGGCGGUUGAGUAAGACAGAUGUGAAAUCCCCGAGCUUAACUCGGGAAUGGCAUAUGUGACUGCUCGACUAGAGUGUGUCAGAGGGAGGUGGAAUUCCACGUGUAGCAGUGAAAUGCGUAGAUAUGUGGAAGAACACCGAUGGCGAAGGCAGCCUCCUGGGACAUAACUGACGCUCAGGCACGAAAGCGUGGGGAGCAAACAGGAUUAGAUACCCUGGUAGUCCACGCCCUAAACGAUGUUAACUAGUUGUUGGGAAGUAAUAUUCUCAGUAACGCAGCCAACGCGAGAAGUUAACCGCCUGGGAAG
rnacentral:rRNA from 1 species